CCCACAAGUGUCUCAGAACUGCAGGACACAGCAUUGUCUGCUCAGGAUGUAAAAUCUGUGGUCUGUGGAUGAAGUUUCUUGUGGGAUAGUUGUGUCCAACACAGGCCAGUGAGACUGAGUGGGAUUUAGCUUAAAGCUACAUUGAUCAUAAAUAUCCCUGAAGAGCCACGCAGGAACUUGGAGCUCAGUUUAGCUCAUCAUGGUCAGUUGUUCUUAAAUUGCCAUAGAAAGUAUUGGGUAGGGUUUUAUUGAUUAUAUCAUAGUAGAUAAAAGGAGUUCAAGAUGCUUCUUCAUUCUAUAUUUUAGAGCAUGGACUUACCCAUGACAUGUGGUUAUCUCAUUUAGUCUCAGAUUUUGUUUUCAAAAACUGGCUACAGGUUGUAAUUUUUUAAAUUUAUAGUCCAGGAGAGAAAUGUGUGGGGAUCUCAGGGGAUAUGCUUUGUUCACAAGCAGUGUGUUAGAUUCUGAUAAAAUGUGUGAGGUAAUCUGUAUCUGCAAUUUUUAUCUGUUAAAGGUUAUGAAAACUUAAUGGGGGCUUUGGGGAGUUUUACAGGUUUUUUAGGGCAGUUUUGAUUGUUUCUAGAAGAGACUUUUAGUGGUUCUAGAGAAUAAGAAUGAAAGUGUUUUGGACAAUGGUGAUUCAGCAUAGGUUGUGGGGCAGGGAUUAGACCAAAACCUUGAUUUUUGUGGGGAUUUUUUAGCUCAGUGUUUGAGAACCCCUCUGUAGCUUGUUACUGGGGCAAGUCCUGAAUGGACACGUGUUCCGAGCUCUUCCCUCCUUGGCUGCAUUUUGUUGCGGUUUGGGGUCCGUGAUUUCUCCGAGGGGCGCCCGGCGCCGGGAGCGCUGCAAAUGGCGGCGGCGGGACUACAACUCCCAGGAUGCCCCGCGCUUCGGCGCGCGGUGACGUCAUCGCUGCGCCAGGGCGCCGGUGGAGCGCGGGAGCGGCGGGAGUCCCGGUGCAGCCCCGCGGGACCGGACAGGACCGGGCCGGGCCGUGAGGGGCCAUGGCUCAGGACAGCGAGGGGCCGCCGGCCAAGCGGUUCAAGGCGGCGCCCCCCGGCACGCAGCCCCAGAGCGCCGCGCACGUGCAGCGCCGCUCGCUGCCCAUCUGCGGGGCCCGCGGGCCGCUGCUGGCCCGGCUCCGCCGCCUCGACACCGCCGUCCUCAUCGGAGAAACGGGCUCGGGGAAGACCACCCAGCUGCCUCAGUACCUGUUGGAAGCGGGGAUUGGCCACCCUGGUGUCAUCGCUGUCACCCAGCCCCGCAGGGUGGCAGCUGUCACCCUGGCUGCCAGGGUCGCUGAGGAGAAGAGGACAGAGCUGGGGAAGCUGGUUGGCUACACCGUGCGCUUCGAUGACUGCUCGUGUGCCGAGACGCGGAUCCGCUUCCUGACGGACGGGAUGCUGCUCAGGGAGGCCAUCGGGGACCCUCUGCUGCACAAGUACAGCGUGGUCAUCCUGGACGAGGCCCACGAGAGGACCAUCCACACUGAUGUGCUCUUUGGAGUGGUCAAGGCUGCACAAAGGAAGAGAAAGGAGCGGGGCCUGCGGCCACUGAAAGUGAUUGUCAUGUCAGCCACCAUGGAUGUUGACCAGUUCUCCCAGUAUUUCAGUGGAGCUCCUGUCCUCUAUCUGGAAGGCCGGCAGCAUCCCAUUGACAUCUUCUACACCAAGGAGAGGCAGAGUGACUACCUGCAGGCAGCACUGGUGUCCAUCUUCCAAAUCCACCAGGAAGCCCCUGCUUGCCAGGACAUCCUGGUGUUCCUGACUGGUCAGGAAGAAAUUGAAGCAAUGACCAAAACCUGUCGAGACGUUGCCCAGCAUCUCCCUGAGGGCUGCCCACGGAUGACAGUGCUGCCCCUUUAUGCUUCUCUGCCCCACUCCCAGCAACUCCGUGCCUUUAAACCCAGCCCUGAGGGCUGUCGCAAAGUGAUCCUCUCCACCAACAUUGCAGAAACCUCCAUCACCAUUGCAGGGAUAAAAUUCGUUGUGGACACAGGCAUGGUCAAAGCCAAGAAGUACAGCCCUGAGACUGGCCUGGAGGUGCUGGCAGUGCAGCAGGUGUCCAAGGCCCAGGCCUGGCAGCGCACAGGGCGAGCAGGGAGGCAGGAGAGCGGGAUCUGCUACCGGCUCUACACAGAGGAGGACUUUGAGAAGUUUGAUGAAAUGACAACACCUGAGAUUCAGAGGUGUAACCUGGCCAGUGUGGUGCUUCAGCUCCUGGCCCUGAAAAUUCCCAAUGUGCUCACCUUUGACUUCAUGUCCAAACCAUCUCCUGAUUCUAUUCAAGCAGCAAUUGAUCAGCUGGACCUGCUGGGAGCUGUGACCCAAAAGGAAGGGCAGCUUGUCCUGACCCCCCUGGGAAAGAAAAUGGCAGCCUUUCCACUGGAUCCAAAGCUCUCAAAGGCCAUCCUCCUGUCCCCCAAGUUCCACUGUGCAGAGGAGAUCCUGACCAUCGUGUCCCUGCUGUCAGUGGACAGUGUCCUCCACAACCCCCCUGCCCAGAGGGAUGAGGUGCAGGCUGUCAGGAGGAAGUUCAUCUCCAGUGAGGGGGAUCACCUGACCCUGCUCAACAUCUACAGGGCCUACAAGAACGUCAAUGGGCACAAGGGAUGGUGCAGAGAGAACUUUAUCAAUGGCAGGAACAUGAAGCUGAUGGCAGAAGUCAGAGCUCAGCUCAGGGACAUUUGUGUAAAGGUAACUUGCUUCCAUAUUCUAUUUCUCUGUUUCACCUGUUGGUAUUUUCCUGUUUUUCCCCAAACUGAUGUUACUGUGCACCAAGUUCCAGGGGUGAGAAAAUGUGGGGUUGUUUUCAGUCUCCUGUAAAUAGCCGGCUAGAACUCCUGACUGUGCAGUUGCAUCCCAGAAUCUUGAAGCUGCAGGGCUUAGUGAGUCAAGGAGAAGUGGGAACCUCUGAGAAGACUUCUCAGGGAAAGGACAGGUUGUCCUAAAGGUUUUUUCCUGCUCUGAUGUAGGUGGGAUUGUGGGAUUGUGCUGUGUGUGCCAUGGAGUGCUGUCAGCCUCAGCAGCCUGUGCUGGCUGGUUUCUUCACUGAGUCAGGCUUUCAGUGUGGCAGCAGCUUCCCCUCAGCACUGUCCUGCUCGGCAGUGAACCCCUGGCAGUCAGUAGUGACAGGGGAGCCACCCUCUGGGCUGUCACUUGUGAAUGCUGGUUGGCCUUAAACUCACUUCCAGAAGGAGAGUGGCGAUCCAUUGGCUUUUAGUCUGGGUUAGCCUGGCAUCCACCCAGGGUUCUGACACAGCAAACCCCCAGGAUUUCUGAGCAGAGCCCAGUGAGAUGUGGCAGGGUGCAGGUGCUGUUUCUCACUGAAGCAGGGUGCAGGGGCUGUUUCUCACUGCUGUCUCCCAGUGAGGCAGGGCAGGGUGCAGGUGCUGUCUCCCAGUGAGGCAGGGCAGGUGCAGGGGCUGUUUCUCAC